UGUUGUGUGGUAAAUUUUAAACUUGAUAUCAGUUCUGUUAUAAAUAAUAACAUGACAUAAUCUUUGUUAAUGGACAAAUCGUGAUUUUGUAACAGGUUUCUAUUAGUGCGUGUUACUUCAAAAACUUUGUAAUCACUUUACCAUUGCGGAAUGACCAUGUAUAAAAGCAAUGCAAGCUAUACAGUCACUGUCAACGACUUUUUUUAUGCUUUUAAAUGUCCGGACGUGUCUAAACAUGGCGAAUGGUAGAUCUUUCCAGGAAAACUGACAGAAGCCUGAGAAUACAUACCAGAAUGUUAUAAGAUACAUCUUCGACGAAGCUGAUACAGACGGACACGGGUGUAUUCGGUUGAAAGGAACAGCUGAAAACACUGGCAACAUAGGGCAUCCUGGCGGCUUCGAUCGAAAUAGGAUUGGUGACAUUCACAAGUUCUUGUGUUGUUUGAACUGUACGUUUUUACUUAUUUAUAAAGACUUCUCGUUUAAGUUCCGUGUCUCUUAAACAAGACAAAUAUACGUUUAGAUUAUUUUA